rnacentral:rRNA from 1 species
CCUACGGGAGGCUGCAGUGGGGAAUAUUGGACAAUGGGCGAAAGCCUGAUCCAGCCAUGCCGCGUGUGUGAAGAAGGCCUUCGGGUUGUAAAGCACUUUCAGUGGGGAAGAAAGCCUUGGGGCUAAUACCCUCGAGGAAGGACAUCACCCACAGAAGAAGCACCGGCUAACUCCGUGCCAGCAGCCGCGGUAAUACGGAGGGUGUGAGCGUUAAUCGGAAUUACUGGGCGUAAAGCGCGCGUAGGCGGUCUGAUAAGCCGGUUGUGAAAGCCCCGGGCUCAACCUGGGAACGGCAUCCGGAACUGUCAGGCUAGGGUGCAGGAGAGGAAGGUAGAAUUCCCGGUGUAGCGGUGAAAUGCGUAGAGAUCGGGAGGAAUACCAGUGGCGAAGGCGGCCUUCUGGACUGACACUGACGCUGAGGUGCGAAAGCGUGGGUAGCAAACAGGAUUAGAUACCCGGGUAGUC